AGCCGGUUGGAGUAUGGUGGUUUAUAAUUAAUUGUCACGACCAGUUACAGGUUUCUUGGUUCCUUCUUCCCUCCCCGUGCCCCACUUGACCAGCCUAAA
ensembl:misc_RNA Y_RNA Y RNA